rnacentral:misc_RNA from 1 species
UCCUGGUUAACCCAGGCAGUCUCAUUAGAGUUCCCAUCUUUACAUGUUGGCAACUAAUGAUAAGGGUUGCGCUCGUUGCGGGACUUAACCCAACACCUCACGGCACGAGCUGACGACAGCCAUGCAGCACCUGUGCACAGGCUCCGAAGAGAGAUCACAUUUCUGUGACUGUCCUGUGCAUGUCAAGUCUGGGUAAGGUUUUUCGCGUUGCAUCGAAUUAAACCACAUGCUCCACUGCUUGUGCGGGUCCCCGUCAAUUCUUUUGAGUUUCAGCCUUGCGACUGUACUCCCCAGGCGGUAUACUUAACGCGUUAGCUACGGCACAAAUGGGGUUGAUUCCAUUUACACCAAGUAUACAUCGUUUACGGCAAGGACUAC